rnacentral:rRNA from 1 species
UACAGAGGGUGCUAGCGUUGUUCGGAAUCAUUGGGCGUAAAGGGCGUGUAGGCGGUUUGUUAAGUCAUGUGUGAAAUCCCUCGGCUCAACCGGGGAACGACGCAUGAAACUGGCAAGCUAGAGUACCAAAGAGGGGGGUGGAAUUCCCGGUGUAGCGGCGAAAUGCGUAGAUAUCGGGAGGAACACCUGUGGCGAAGGCGGCCCCCUGGUUGGAUACUGACGCUGAUACGCGAAAGCGUGGGGAGCAAACAGG